GCCUUCUGGGUGUAGUGGUCAGCACGCUUGGCGCGUAUUUGAGAGGUCCGUGGUUCGAGUCCCGGCGAAGGCG
rnacentral:tRNA from 1 species